GAGUUAAGGGAUGAAGUUUUUGAGAUCAGGUUUCAAAUAAAAAAGAUAAAAAAAAAUUAAAAAUUAAAAUUUUCAAAAUAAAAGGUAUAUUCUGGUCAUUUUCUUCUUUGAGUGCUAUUUUUGUGACAAAAACUUAAAAAAAAAACUAUUUGAGAGAAUUGACUGAUAUUUUAUUAAUUUAUAGAGUUAUUAGUUUAUAAAUUUUUCCUUUUUAAAAUUUUUAUAUUUUAGU
rnacentral:lncRNA from 1 species